UUGGUAGUAAAGCAGAAUACAAAUGCAGCGCAGCAAAUGCCAUCCUUAACGAAAACGAGUUAAAGUGGGCAAAGAGAUUGUGAAGAGUGAGAUAAGACAUAGGACUGUGCAGAACAGGUCUGUUACUGUGGUAGUGACACCAGGAUGGUGGAAAAAACGUCAGUCUGGUGAGAGUUCAAAAUUUAUAAAGAUGGAGAUUGUACACAGUUUAGACAUGUGUCCUACAACACAUGCCUUCCUUCUAGUCAUCAAUCUACACACCCCAUUCACAAAGAUGCACUUAAAUGGAGUCAUGGAACACAUGGAGAUUCUUGGUGAGGAGAUCUGGAACCACACCAUAGUGCUGCUGAUGUAUCUCAACAGGAACCAAACAGAUGCAGAUACCAGACAGCUAACUGAGAGUGCAGGGGAAGACCUUCAUAGUGUUAUUGGGAAGUGUGGGAACAGAGUUCAUGUUUUCAGUUUAACUGACAAAAAAGUACUAAAUGUGGAAAAACUGUUUUAUGGGAUAGAGAGUUUAGUAGCAGAGCAUUUUGGACAGUCCUUUAAAAUUGACAGCAGUUUGUUCGAGGAUAAGGAGGAACAAAGAAAAAUUAUGAAGAAGCAUGCAGAAUACAGGGAGAUCUAAUAAAACAAAGAGAUGCAAAGUUUAAAGGAGCAUCUGACAGCAGGGGAAGGUUGCAAUUUGAGUUAAGGAUUUUGCUGAUGGGAAGUAUAAAUGUGGGAAGACCUCAGUAGCACACACUAUCCUGAAAAUUGAAAACAAGGAGAAGGUCACGACAAAACGAUGUGUAAAAAGAGAACAAGAGGACCUCAUGUAGUUUUACUGGUAGUGCAGUCUGGUGUUGCCUUUACUGAAGCACAUAGGAGGUCAAUCAAGGGGCACAUGGAACUCCUGGGCCAGAAUGUUUGGAAUCACUGUUUAGUUGUGUUCAGCUGGGGUGAUUGGAAGAGGACCCCCACUAUUGAGGAACACAUUGAGAGUGAAGGAGAGGCUCUGCAGUGGCUGAUCAAUAAAUGUAGAAACAGUGCAAGAUGAGUACAUUAAAAAUGGUUUGAAAAUUUGGAUGAUGUGACUAAUCCCACGACCUUGUCAGACUUGUCAGCAGUUGAGGAAGUGUCAGAGGAACAUCGCACAAAAUCAAAAUCACUGAUGGAUUGAAGAGGUAUGGAAAAAUAAAGUAAACAAAAACAACAAAAUAUUUACUACUUUUAUUGCUAUUUAAAGGAUUUGUUCACCCAAAAUGAAAAUGUGAUUAUCAUUUACUCACCCUCAUGUCAUACAUACAACUUGGUCAUAUAUGGUACAUGAUAGUACACAAAUAUAUUUUUAAGAAUGUUCAUGCUACUCUUUUCCAUACAACAAGCAUACAGUUAUUUUAUUACACAUUUUUGACAUUGUAAAGUUUUACAUAGUA